GAAACGAACGCUAAUACCGCAUAACGUAGUCGAUCGGCAUCGAUUGACUACCAAAGGAGCAAUCCGCUGAAAGAUGGGCUCGCGUCCGAUUAGAUAGUUGGCGGGGUAACGGCCCACCAAGUCGACGAUCGGUAGCCGGACUGAGAGGUUGAUCGGCCACAUUGGGACUGAGACACGGCCCAGACUCCUACGGGAGGCAGCAGUGGGGAAUAUUGCACAAUGGGGGAAACCCUGAUGCAGCGACGCCGCGUGAGGGAAGAAGGUUUUCGGAUUGUAAACCUCUGUCCUUGGUGACGAUAAUGACGGUAGCCAAGGAGGAAGCCACGGCUAACUACGUGCCAGCAGCCGCGGUAAUACGUAGGUGGCAAGCGUUGUCCGGAAUUACUGGGUGUAAAGGGAGCGUAGGCGGGAAAGCAAGUUGAAUGUUUAAACUAUCGGCUCAACCGAUAAUCGCGUUCAAAACUGUUUUUCUUGAGUGAAGUAGAGGUAGGCGGAAUUCCUAGUGUAGCGGUGAAAUGCGUAGAUAUUAGGAGGAACACCAGUGGCGAAGGCGGCCUACUGGGCUUUAACUGACGCUGAGGCUCGAAAGCGUGGGUAGCAAACAGGAUUAGAUACCCUGGUAGUCCACGCCGUAAACGAUGAUUACUAGGUGUGGGGGGACU
rnacentral:rRNA from 1 species